AUGAUUCAUUCGUGAUGUUUUUUUGCUGUUAAUUAGUCUGUUACAUGGUGCAGUAACUACGGGAGGCCUGCCAACGGCUGAGGCCCAUAUCCUUUUUCGCAUAUGGUGCAUUUUAAGGUAACCUUGGCUACCGCCCAGGAGCAAGAUCCUCGGCCGCUGAAAUAACUUUUACCCACUCCUGAAACUGCAUCAUGUCUUUUUUCUUCGCCCUCGGAGGAAAAAAGCGUCACCGGCGAACAUUGGCUGGGUGCUUCAGGAUAACCGCACGCAUAACGGGGAAUGUAAGCACGCGCAAGAAAGCUGUUAAGGGCGCAGUAAGAACCUCCAUUUUACGUACACUUACCACAUCGAUGCCGGCGUCCUUUCCGAUGCUUUUGUCCCUGCUAGUAACUGCUGCGAAGGCUCCGGUCGCAAAGCUCUCGCUAGCCACCGAGAACUCACGUAGUACAUCGAUCAUCUCGACGGCUAGCCACAACUACCCCGCUCUUUGCCCCCACAACUACCCCACUAUAACUGCUACUAAUGACGCAGUAGCGACCGUGGCUAGUGCCAGCGGAGCCUUCGGCACGCCUGUUCAUCGCGGUAGGCCCAUAUCGCCCCUGGCUUAAUCUACACUUCCACCAACUACUCCCCGUCUCCUUAGAUUAUCCUUACAACCCUUCCCCUAAUCGCCAUGUUAUGCGCAUCUACAAGUUAAUAAAUCGUUACGUUGUUCUUUCCGUUACUGGCCCGUUCGCGGUUCUUGCUUGCUAUGGCCUAAACGCUGUUACGCUGUUAUGACAUGUUAUACAUAGACGUAGUUAGGUGAGGCAUAUCGCGAACAGAAUGAAGAACAACGUCGACAACGGUCUGAGCAAUGGCAGAAAGAAAAACAUGCGAUAGGAAAAGACGAG